UGCCAGCAGCCGCGGUAAUACGAGGGGUCCUAGCGUUGUUCGGAAUCAUUGGGCGUAAAGCGGGUGUAGGCGGAUUAAUAAGUCAGAAGUGAAAGCCCCGGGCUCAACCCGGGAAGUGCUUUUGAUACUGUUAAUCUUGAGUGUGGGAGAGGAUAGUAGAAUUCCUGGUGUAGUGGUGAAAUACGUAGAUAUCAGGAGGAACACCGGUGGGGAAGCCGGCUGUCUGGCCCAACACUGACGCUCAGACUCGAAAGCGUGGGGAGCAAACAGGAUUAGAUA
rnacentral:rRNA from 1 species